rnacentral:sRNA from 1 species
CUGACCUUGGGCUUGUACUUGCGCAGGAGCUCGCCCCU